UAUUCCCUGCCACCUGAAUGCGCCUUAAUGUCUUCUAUGUUUUCUUUGAAGGUCCACAGCAUCAGUGAGCUACCAUAGGCCCAUCCUGGACACAAUGGAGUUUUUCAAUCUGUUGACAUCCCGGCUGUGUUCAAGGUGCUGUUUAAAUUAUGAAGACUUAUUCAGUGUAAAUCGUGCAUAUGCCUCCUAAUGUUUUGCGUUUUAAUUACAGGCCCACGUUAUGUGAAAUCUCUUCCUUGAAGCCUCUACUGCUGCCCCCAAGAAGUGUGACCACCCCCCUUUGAACCUCCACGCACUAGUCAAGAAACACAGUGCACUGAAAAAGCUGCCAGACGCCAAAUGAGAUAAGGAGCGUCCUGUGAGCAGCGACAGACUUGAACGCUCCCAGCGAACAGACAAGAGAAGUGAUGGCUCUACUGAAGAAAGCUUGUCCUUGAACCUUGAUACCACUGAUUUUUUUUGCAGAUGCUGCUGACCUUUUAAAUAAACACAGGAACUUCUUGGUAAUGGAAUGUCUU
rnacentral:lncRNA from 1 species